rnacentral:rRNA from 1 species
ACCCCUACGGGGGGCAGCAGUGGGGAAUAUUGCACAAUGGGGGAAACCCUGAUGCAGCCAUGCCGCGUGUGUGAAGAAGGCCUUAGGGUUGUAAAGCACUUUCAAUGGGGAGGAAAAGUUGCAGUUUAAUACGCUGUAGCCGUGACGUUACCCAUAGAAGAAGCACCGGCUAACUCCGUGCCAGCAGCCGCGGUAA